CCGAGCUCGGGAGCAGCUCGGGCCCUGCCGGUGCCAGCUCUGCUCAGAGACUGCGGGGAGAGCCUCGGGCAGGAUCCUGCCCCGCUCCCUCCUGCCGGAAUUCAUCCCCGGGGCGAUGGGCUGGAGCAGGGAACGUGGGGCUGGAGCAGGGAACGUGGGGUGGCACCCCCGGAGGAGGAGGAGGCAGCGGCGGGCAUCACCCCUCUGCCCCUCAGUUUGGUGCUGGCAGCACUCGGUGCCCGGGUUAAUGUCCCCACAGGGCUGCCGAGCAGGUGACACCCAUCACAGCACCCACGGACAUCGCCCAUGGCCCCGGGUCAGGCUCAGCCCUGCCUCGCCCAGGGGGUGCAGACCCCGCUCGCCCCCCACAUCCCUCUGGAUGUGCCAGGGAGAAAGGGACACGCAGCUUUCAGCGCUGCAAUCCAAGGAAGUUUUACCCUGAGGACUGGGUGCGGGAGCAGCGCCGGAGAUAAAUUCCUGCCACAAAGUUUCUUUAGCUGCUAAUUUUCUGAUUAGCCGCUGUCUGAUGCGAUGGCAGCAGCGCUCCGCGGAGCUUAUUCCGAGUGGAAUAAUCUGUGUAAGCAGCCAAGAGGGGCAGGGCGGGCGCUGAGCCCCCCAGGCACAGCCCUGCUCGGAGGUAAGAACCGCUCAGGGGCUGCCAAGCCGCCGCCAGGGCUGUGGAAAUCCUUUCUGCGGAUCAGCCGAGAGGAUUCUCCCGCUAUCCCCCUAAAGCUGCGUGUCACCUAGUCCAAUAAAAGGCAUUAUC